rnacentral:lncRNA from 1 species
GUGAGCCUGUUCUCUCUUUUGGGAACUCUUUAAUUUGAUGUUGAAAUUCUUGGACUGAUAGUUUAAUUUUCUUAUCUUUUUUUUUUUUUACUUCAUCUCCAUUUUUAAUUUCCAAAAGCACCUCUUGUUAUCUAAUUUGUCUUUGUUUUUCUUUUCUUUUUUAUUUUUUAAAUCAGUUUCCUCAGAUUGAAUCAUUAAUUUUUCUAACUUCCUUUCUCCCUGCCUCCUUUCCUUUUUUUCUUCCCUCCUUUCCUUUUCUUCUUCCUUGCUUUCUUCCCUCCUUUUCUCCCUGCCUCUCUCCCUAUCUUCCUUCCUUUCUUCGUCAGAGGCAUUGAGUCUUAUUUUAUGGUGUAAAAUCUUAUCUCCCUGAGAAUGUUUGGAAGUGUCUUUUACUGCCUGUAUUAUCUCUGUUUCUGCUGAGUCCUGUUUUCCUCCUCUGGCCUGUUUGUUUUGGUCCCUCUCUUUACUGUUGAAAGCGUUCCUCAAAGGUCUGAUGAUCCUUGAAUAGUUGGUCAGUUUUUUGUUUUUUGUUUUUUUGUUGAGACAGAGUCUCACUCUGUCGCCCAGGCUGGAGUGCAGUGGCGCAAUCUUGGCUCACCGCAACCUCCGCCUCUCAGGCUCAAGUGAUUUCCCUGCCUCAGCCUCCCAAGUAGCUGGAAUUAGUGGUGCGUGCCACCAUGCCCGGCUAAUUUUUGUGUUUUUAGUAGAGACCGGGUUUCACCAUUUUGACCAGGCUGGUCUCGAACUCCUGACCUCAGGUGAUCCACCAUGCCCGCCCUUGGUCAGAUUUUUAACUGACUCACUGCACAGCUGAUUGGAAGCUCUGUUUGAGUGGGCAGGUUUUGUCAGCUUGUGAGCAUAUUUUUAGAUUCACUGGUUAGUCAGCCAGCUCAACUCCUAGAUUCACUACAAUUUUAGAUUUACUAGGAUUUUAGAUUCACUGGGUAGUCAGUUCC